rnacentral:rRNA from 1 species
AAUCAACGCUGGCGGCGUGCCUAACACAUGCAAGUCGAACGCGAAAGUGGAGCAAUCCAUGAGUAGAGUGGCGAACGGGUGAGUAACACGUGGGUGACCUACCUUCGAGUGGGGGAUAACGUCCCGAAAGGGACGCUAAUACCGCAUAACAUCCUGCCUUUGAACAGGUGGAGAUCAAAGCUGGGGAUCGCAAGACCUGGCGUUUGGAGAGGGGCCCGCGUCUGAUUAGCUAGUUGGUGAGGUAACGGCCCACCAAGGCAACGAUCAGUAUCCGGCCUGAGAGGGCGGACGGACACACUGGGACUGAGACACGGCCCAGACUCCUACGGGAGGCAGCAGGUGGGAAUUGUUCACAAUGGGCGACAAGCCUGAUGACGCAACGCCGCGUGGAGGAUGGAAGGUCUUCGGAUUGUAAACUCCUGUUCGCCCGGGAACGAAAGCUUCGACCUAAUACGUUGAAGUCUGACGGUACCGGGUG